UAUUGAAAUUUCAUCUAUUUGUACCGUUAAAAAAUGUGUGGCUAAUGGAAUGACCAGACAAUGACAUGUAAUGUGCCAAUGUAUACCUUAUGCUAAUGUACAAAGACCAAUUUUUAAUAGUAGAAAUUGAUGAAACUUUUAACA
rfam:Gossypium arboreum cultivar AKA8401 contig_29655_3, whole genome shotgun sequence.